rnacentral:rRNA from 1 species
GUCCAGACUCCUACGGGAGGCAGCAGUGGGGGAUAUUGCACAAUGGGGGGAACCCUGAUGCAGCGACGCCGCGUGGGUGAAGGAGUAUUUCGGUAUGUAAAGCCCUAUCGGCAGGGAAGAAGCAAGACGGUACCUGACUAAGAAGCCCCGGCUAACUACGUGCCAGCAGCCGCGGUAAUACGUAGGGGGCAAGCGUUAUCCGGAUUCACUGGGUGUAAAGGGAGCGUAGACGGCGGCGCAAGUCUGGAGUGAAAGCCCGGGGCCCAACCCCGGGACUGCUCUGGAAACUGCGGCGCUGGAGUACGGGAGGGGCAGGCGGAAUUCCUGGUGUAGCGGUGAAAUGCGUAGAUAUCAGGAGGAACACCGGCGGCGAAGGCGGCCUGCUGGACCGUGACUGACGUUGAGGCUCGAGAGCGUGGGGAGCAAACAGGAUUAGAUACCCUCGUAC